rfam:Devosia epidermidihirudinis strain E84 contig11, whole genome shotgun sequence.
AGGUGUUCGCGCUACUGGCGAGAAAAGAUGGGCAACCAUCGGGGAACGCGAACUUCAUAGAGCCGCUCGCCUGGGCACCCAUC